UACGUAGGGGGCAAGCGUUGUCCGGAUUUAUUGGGCGUAAAGAGCGUGUAGGCGGCCAUACAGGUCCGUUGUGAAAACUCGAGGCUCAACCUCGAGACGUCGAUGGAAACCGUAUGGCUAGAGUCCGGAAGAGGAGAGUGGAAUUCCUGGUGUAGCGGUGAAAUGCGCAGAUAUCGGGAGGAACACCAGUGGCGAAGGCGACUACCUGGCCCAUUCUUGACGCUGAGGCGCGAAAGCUAGGGGAGCGAACGGG
rnacentral:rRNA from 1 species